GGUGCUGCAUGGCUGUCGUUCAGCUCGUGUCGUGAGAUGUUGGGUUAAGUCCCGUAACGAGCGCAACCCUUGUCCUUAGUUACCAGCACGUUAUGGUGGGCACUCUAAGGAGACUGCCGGUGACAAACCGGAGGAAGGUGGGGAUGACGUCAAGUCAUCAUGGCCCUUACGGCCUGGGCUACACACGUGCUACAAUGGUCGGUACAAAGGGUUGCCAAGCCGCGAGGUGGAGCUAAUCCCAUAAAACCGAUCGUAGUCCGGAUCGCAGUCUGCAACUCGACUGCGUGAAGUCGGAAUCGCUAGUAAUCGUGAAUCAGAAUGUCACGGUGAAUACGUUCCCGGGCCUU
rnacentral:rRNA from 1 species